rnacentral:rRNA from 1 species
AGCCCGCUCAGAACUUAAAGGAAUUGACGGGGGCCCGCACAAGCGGAGGAGCAUGUGGUUUAAUUCGAUGAUACGCGAGGAACCUUACCUGGGCUCGAACGUAAGAUGACUGUAGGUGAAAGCUUACAUCUCUUCGGAGCAUUUUACGAGGUGCUGCAUGGUUGUCGUCAGCUCGUGCCGUGAGGUGUCGGGUUAAGUCCCAUAACGAGCGCAACCCCUACCUUUAGUUGCCAUCAGGUUAAGCUGGGGACUCUAAAGGAACUGCCUACGCAAGUAGUGAGGAAGGCGGGGAUGACGUCAAAUCAGCACGGCCCUUACGUCCAGGGCUACACACGUGCUACAAUGGCCGAUACAGAGGGCAGCUACCUGGUGACAGGAUGCAAAUCUCCAAAGUCGGUCUCAGUUCGGAUCGGAGUCUGCAACCCGACUCCGUGAAGUUGGAUUCGCUAGUAAUCGCGCAUCAGCCAUGGCGCGGUGAAUACGUUCCCGGGCCUU